rnacentral:rRNA from 1 species
UACGGGGGGGGCAAGCGUUGUUCGGAAUUACUGGGCGUAAAGGGCGUGUAGGUGGCCAACUAAGUCCGACGUGAAAUCCCCAGGCUUAACCUGGGAACUGCGUCGGAUACUGGAUGGCUUGAAUUCGGGAGAGGGAUGCAGAAUUCCAGGUGUAGCGGUGAAAUGCGUAGAUAUCUGGAGGAAUACCGGUGGCGAAGGCGGCAGUCCUGGACCGACAUUGACGCUGAGGAGCGAAAGCUAGGGGAGCAAACGGG